AGAGAAGCUUGCUUCUUGGAUCAGUGGCGAACGGGUGAGUAACACGUGAGCAAUCUGCCCUUGACUCUGGGAUAAGCGUUGGAAACGACGUCUAAUACCGGAUACGACCCUCGGAGGCAUCUCCUGGGGGUGGAAAGAAUUUUGGUCAAGGAUGAGCUCGCGGCCUAUCAGCUAGUUGGUGAGGUAAUGGCUCACCAAGGCGACGACGGGUAGCCGGCCUGAGAGGGUGACCGGCCACACUGGGACUGAGACACGGCCCAGACUCCUACGGGAGGCAGCAGUGGGGAAUAUUGCACAAUGGGCGAAAGCCUGAUGCAGCAACGCCGCGUGAGGGACGAAGGCCUUCGGGUUGUAAACCUCUUUUAGUAGGGAAGAAGCGAAAGUGACGGUACCUGCAGAAAAAGCACCGGCUAACUACGUGCCAGCAGCCGCGGUAAUACGUAGGGUGCAAGCGUUGUCCGGAAUUAUUGGGCGUAAAGAGCUCGUAGGCGGUUUGUCGCGUCUGCUGUGAAAACCCGAGGCUCAACCUCGGGCCUGCAGUGGGUACGGGCAGACUAGAGUGCGGUAGGGGAGAUUGGAAUUCCUGGUGUAGCGGUGGAAUGCGCAGAUAUCAGGAGGAACACCAAUGGCGAAGGCAGAUCUCUGGGCCGUAACUGACGCUGAGGAGCGAAAGCAUGGGGAGCGAACAGGAUUAGAUACCCUGGUAGUCCAUGCCGUAAACGUUGGGA
rnacentral:rRNA from 1 species